AGAGCGAACGCUGGCGGCAGGCCUAACACAUGCAAGUCGAGCGCCCCGCAAGGGGAGCGGCAGACGGGAGAGUAACACGUGGGAACGUACCCUUCAGUUCGGAACAACCCAGGGAAACUUGGGCUAAUACCGAAUACGUCCGUAAGGAGAAAGAUUUAUCGCUGAAGGAUCGGCCCGCGUCUGAUUAGCUUGUUGGUGAGGUAAUGGCUCACCAAGGCUACGAUCAGUAGCUGGUCUGAGAGGAUGAUCAGCCUCACUGGGACUGAGACACGGCCCAGACUCCUACGGGAGGCAGCAGUGGGGAAUAUUGGACAAUGGGCGCAAGCCUGAUCCAGCCAUGCCGCGUGGGUGAUGAAGGCCCUAGGGUUGUAAAGCCCUUUCGGCGGGGAAGAUAAUGACGGUACCCGUAGAAUAAGCCCGGCUAACUUCGCGCCAGCAGCCGC
rnacentral:rRNA from 1 species